GAUUAAGUUAUUAAGGGCGCACGGUGGAUGCCUUGGCACUAGAAGCCGAUGAAGGACGUUACUAACGACGAUAUGCUUUGGGGAGCUGUAAGUAAGCUUUGAUCCAGAGAUUUCCGAAUGGGGAAACCCAGCAUGAGUUAUGUCAUGUUAUCGAUAUGUGAAUACAUAGCAUAUCAGAAGGCACACCCGGAGAACUGAAACAUCUUAGUACCCGGAGGAAGAGAAAGAAAAUUCGAUUCCCUUAGUAGCGGCGAGCGAAACGGGAAGAGCCCAAACCAACAAGCUUGCUUGUUGGGGUUGUAGGACACUCUAUACGGAGUUACAAAGGACGACAUUAGACGAAUCAUCUGGAAAGAUGAAUCAAAGAAGGUAAUAAUCCUGUAGUCGAAAAUGUUGUCUCUCUUGAGUGGAUCCUGAGUACGACGGAGCACGUGAAAUUCCGUCGGAAUCUGGGAGGACCAUCUCCUAAGGCUAAAUACUCUCUAGUGACCGAUAGUGAACCAGUACCGUGAGGGAAAGGUGAAAAGCACCCCGGAAGGGGAGUGAAAUAGAACCUGAAACCGUGUGCUUACAAGUAGUCAGAGCCCGUUAAUGGGUGAUGGCGUGCCUUUUGUAGAAUGAACCGGCGAGUUACGAUUUGAUGCAAGGUUAAGCAGUAAAUGUGGAGCCGUAGCGAAAGCGAGUCUGAAUAGGGCGUUUAGUAUUUGGUCGUAGACCCGAAACCAGGUGAUCUACCCUUGGUCAGGUUGAAGUUCAGGUAACACUGAAUGGAGGACCGAACCGACUUACGUUGAAAAGUGAGCGGAUGAACUGAGGGUAGCGGAGAAAUUCCAAUCGAACCUGGAGAUAGCUGGUUCUCUCCGAAAUAGCUUUAGGGCUAGCCUCAAGUGAUGAUUAUUGGAGGUAGAGCACUGUUUGGACGAGGGGCCCCUCUCGGGUUACCGAAUUCAGACAAACUCCGAAUGCCAAUUAAUUUAACUUGGGAGUCAGAACAUGGGUGAUAAGGUCCGUGUUCGAAAGGGAAACAGCCCAGACCACCAGCUAAGGUCCCAAAAUAUAUGUUAAGUGGAAAAGGAUGUGGCGUUGCCCAGACAACUAGGAUGUUGGCUUAGAAGCAGCCAUCAUUUAAAGAGUGCGUAAUAGCUCACUAGUCGAGUGACACUGCGCCGAAAAUGUACCGGGGCUAAACAUAUUACCGAAGCUGUGGAUUGUCCUUUGGACAAUGGUAGGAGAGCGUUCUAAGGGCGUUGAAGCAUGAUCGUAAGGACAUGUGGAGCGCUUAGAAGUGAGAAUGCCGGUGUGAGUAGCGAAAGACGGGUGAGAAUCCCGUCCACCGAUUGACUAAGGUUUCCAGAGGAAGGCUCGUCCGCUCUGGGUUAGUCGGGUCCUAAGCUGAGGCCGACAGGCGUAGGCGAUGGAUAACAGGUUGAUAUUCCUGUACCACCUAUAAUCGUUUUAAUCGAUGGGGGGACGCAGUAGGAUAGGCGAAGCGUGCGAUUGGAUUGCACGUCUAAGCAGUAAGGCUGAGUAUUAGGCAAAUCCGGUACUCGUUAAGGCUGAGCUGUGAUGGGGAGAAGACAUUGUGUCUUCGAGUCGUUGAUUUCACACUGCCGAGAAAAGCCUCUAGAUAGAAAAUAGGUGCCCGUACCGCAAACCGACACAGGUAGUCAAGAUGAGAAUUCUAAGGUGAGCGAGCGAACUCUCGUUAAGGAACUCGGCAAAAUGACCCCGUAACUUCGGGAGAAGGGGUGCUCUUUAGGGUUAACGCCCAGAAGAGCCGCAGUGAAUAGGCCCAAGCGACUGUUUAUCAAAAACACAGGUCUCUGCUAAACCGUAAGGUGAUGUAUAGGGGCUGACGCCUGCCCGGUGCUGGAAGGUUAAGAGGAGUGGUUAGCUUCUGCGAAGCUACGAAUCGAAGCCCCAGUAAACGGCGGCCGUAACUAUAACGGUCCUAAGGUAGCGAAAUUCCUUGUCGGGUAAGUUCCGACCCGCACGAAAGGCGUAACGAUUUGGGCACUGUCUCAACGAGAGACUCGGUGAAAUCAUAGUACCUGUGAAGAUGCAGGUUACCCGCGACAGGACGGAAAGACCCCGUGGAGCUUUACUGUAGCCUGAUAUUGAAAUUCGGCACAGCUUGUACAGGAUAGGUAGGAGCCUUUGAAACGUGAGCGCUAGCUUACGUGGAGGCGCUGGUGGGAUACUACCCUAGCUGUGUUGGCUUUCUAACCCGCACCACUUAUCGUGGUGGGAGACAGUGUCAGGCGGGCAGUUUGACUGGGGCGGUCGCCUCCUAAAAGGUAACGGAGGCGCUCAAAGGUUCCCUCAGAAUGGUUGGAAAUCAUUCAUAGAGUGUAAAGGCAUAAGGGAGCUUGACUGCGAGACCUACAAGUCGAGCAGGGUCGAAAGACGGACUUAGUGAUCCGGUGGUUCCGCAUGGAAGGGCCAUCGCUCAACGGAUAAAAGCUACCCCGGGGAUAACAGGCUUAUCUCCCCCAAGAGUUCACAUCGACGGGGAGGUUUGGCACCUCGAUGUCGGCUCAUCGCAUCCUGGGGCUGUAGUCGGUCCCAAGGGUUGGGCUGUUCGCCCAUUAAAGCGGUACGCGAGCUGGGUUCAGAACGUCGUGAGACAGUUCGGUCCCUAUCCGUCGUGGGCGUAGGAAAUUUGAGAGGAGCUGUCCUUAGUACGAGAGGACCGGGAUGGACAUACCUCUGGUGUACCAGUUGUCGUGCCAACGGCAUAGCUGGGUAGCUAUGUGUGGACGGGAUAAGUGCUGAAAGCAUCUAAGCAUGAAGCCCCCCUCAAGAUGAGAUUUCCCAACUUCGGUUAUAAGAU
rnacentral:rRNA from 1 species